rnacentral:misc_RNA from 1 species
GCCAGAAAAUAGCCAACAGAGAUCUGUACAAAGAGCCAAAAUGAAGAAAUAUAGAGACAACAGAAGAAAAUGACCUACCAUCAGAAGCUGAGAAAAAAAUAUCAAAGCAUAAGAUACAUUAUAUGAACCAAUAGAAAUAUAGAAACAAGUAUGUAGAAACAAGAAGAGAUUAUUUUUGUAUCCAAAAUCUAUUCUAGAUAAAACUAAAAUUUCCACUAGUUCCAAUUGAACAUCAUGUUAACCAAUUAUAUUUUUCUUCAUCCCUGUAAAAAUUUCAGAGGGUAUUUGUAACCAUACAAGAUAUAGCAAGAAGAGUUGUCCUCUUAAACCAAUCUAUAUUGAAUAGUUAUGCAUGUUGCAUUUGACAUACCACCAAACUAACAAGGAUCAAAUUAAACAGUUCUUUAAAUGCAGCAGUACAACUAACUUUUAACUGUAAGUAGACAUUUGAACCAGCCAAAAGCAGACUGCCUCAAUUGAGGAAUCAAAGAAGGAACUUCAAAGUUAACUGAGGAGGCACUUGAUAUACAUAUAUAAACUUGUCCCCACCACUGGAUGGGUCAUCAUGGCCAGUACUUUCACCUACAUUAAUUUAAGCCUGCUGCAAACUCUAUGCAUGCUUAGUUUGGAUUGAGGGAGUUAUAACUAACUUAAAAGACAAUGCAGAUAAAAACCACGUACUCACAUCAAUAAUUCCACAAAGAACAACCUUUUUUUUGUAGGAAAAAAUAAUGUGGUUGAUGUUCAUUUAUUUAUUCUUGUUGGCAUGUAUAUAUUUUUAUGUAUGAAUGCAUGUGUGCACACAUACCAGGCCCCUAAUGACAAAAAUUUCUAGAUUCGCCACUAACUUUACAUGCAUAAAUACAUGCACAAACACAAAUGCAGACAUGCAAUAAAGUGAACAAUGUCAUCAGAAUGAACAUUUAUCCACUUAAUUUGGGUGGCAAAUUACAAUUUAGGCAUACAUUAAUGGUAUUUAUAUUUAUAGUGAACAAAUAACAUCAGAUCUUGAAUUUCAAAAACAACCUUAUACUUAAUUCAGCAAAAUGCAAACAUAUCAAAUUAAGGAGCCAAAGAUCUUGAAAAUGACAAAGAAAUUCUAUGUUGCCUUCUUCUACGGCAGCUUACCCCUAAUACAGAGUUUGAUACAAU